GCUGGGCAUGGUGGUGUGUACCUGUGGUCCCAGCUACUCAGGAGGCUUAGGUGGGAGGAUCACUUGAGCCCAGGAGGUUGAGGCUGCAGUGAUCCACGAUUGCACCACUGCACUCUAGCCUGGGCAACAGAGUGAGACCCUCUCUAAC
rnacentral:SRP_RNA from 1 species